rnacentral:tRNA from 1 species
GGAUGUGGCUCAAGCGGUAGCGCGCUUGCCUGGCAUGUGUGCGGCCUGAGUUUGAUCCUCAGCAGCACA